rnacentral:rRNA from 1 species
GAUGAACGCUGGCGGCGUGCUUAACACAUGCAAGUCGAACGGAAAGGCCCAAGCUUGCUUGGGUACUCGAGUGGCGAACGGGUGAGUAACACGUGGGUGAUCUGCCCUGCACUUCGGGAUAAGCCUGGGAAACUGGGUCUAAUACCGGAUAGGACCACAUUUUGGAUGGUGUGGUGGAAAGUUUUUCGGUGUGGGAUGAGCUCGCGGCCUAUCAGCUUGUUGGUGGGGUAAUGGCCUACCAAGGCGUCGACGGGUAGCCGGCCUGAGAGGGUGUACGGCCACAUUGGGACUGAGAUACGGCCCAGACUCCUACGGGAGGCAGCAGUGGGGAAUAUUGCACAAUGGGCGCAAGCCUGAUGCAGCGACGCCGCGGGGGGGAGGACGGCCUUCGGGUUGUAAACGCCUUUCGCUAGGGACGAAGCGUUAUGUGACGGUACCUGGAGAAGAAGCACCGGCUAACUACGUG